rnacentral:tRNA from 2 species
UGCGCCGUUAGUGUAGUGGAUCGCACGUGAGAUUCCGGUUCUCGAAACGCGGGUUCGACUCCCGCAUGGCGCAU